rnacentral:rRNA from 1 species
UACAGAGGUGGCAAGCGUUGUUCGGAAUUACUGGGCGUAAAGGGCGCGUAGGUGGCCUUUUGAGUCAGACGUGAAAUCCCCCGGCUUAACCUGGGAACUGCGUCUGAUACUGGAUGGCUUGGAUUUGGGAGAGGGAUGCGGAAUUCCAGGUGUAGCGGUGAAAUGCGUAGAUAUCUGGAGGAACACCGGUGGCGAAGGCGGCCCUCUGGACGGUGACUGACGCUGAGAUGCGAAAGCGUGGGGAGCAAACAGG